GCAGGUAUGGUGACAUUAUGGGGAAACUAGGGUAAGUGCAAAGUGUGCAGGAUACAUUGGUUUUAAGUUAUGGGAACCAAAUUUGAACUAGCUUCAAUAGAAAAGCCUUCUUUGGGCCACAUCCAUCCCUAAGGGGCCAAACAGGAGCCAGGCUGAGGGGUAACUGGAAGCAAGAAUCCCAAACCUAGCAGUUAUCUUUCCCCAUUCUUUUGCCCUCUUCCUACUCUUUUUUUUUAAUUUUAUUUCUCCCUGCCAUUCCAAGAUGGUGCCAGGGAAGGUUUAUCUACCCCAGCUACCUGCACUCUUGGCCCAUCUAAUUGGAGAAGGUAGUGGCUUAAGUCAUGUAGAGGAUAGCGGGGUCCUGACCUGAGGAUUCAUGCCAGGUGGUUCUUGAUCCACCAGGAGACUACAGAAUAUGGAAAACCUAAAUGCUGGGGGACAGAUGCCCGAACUCAUGAUCUUUGUCCAGGACUGGGAUUCCUGCACUUGCUCACAGAAAGCACAAGGUUGAGGUGGAAGGGAAACAGCAUGGGUUUGAAGUCACAGAGCUCUAGAGGGACCGGUAACCUUCCUGUCCUACAUGACCUGGGAGGUGUCUGAUGGCCAGCAAGCAGUUACUUCUCUGGAUCUCAGUUUCCUCACACAAUGGAGAGAUGAUCCCCACGG
rnacentral:lncRNA from 1 species